rnacentral:lncRNA from 1 species
GAAGCCUCCUGGAUGGACAGUUAAAGUCACAGUGCCAUGUCCCCGUUCCCCCACCCCCCUGGUCUCCCCUCUCAGUGAAUCCAGGUACUGAGCUUCCCCCUCACUGCCACCUGCUGGGUGCCAAGAACAGCCAGUGAGAGACCCAGGAUGCCUGUGAGCUCAGCUUCCUCCCACCUUUUCUCUUUUUGGCCACACCCAAGGCAAAUGGAAGUUCCCAGGCCAAGGAUGGAACCCACACCACAGCAGCGACAAUGCCAGAUCCUUAACCCCUAGGCCACCAGGGAACUCCUAGCCCCCUCCCGUCUUAAUAUCUGGCUCCUUCAAUAGCCAGCCUCUGAAGGAAUCAAAACAGCAUCGUUUCAUCUCACAAGGGGCUGGAUCGUCCCAAGGUGGCAGUCAUGCCUUCCAGGUGCCUGGAAGUAGCAAUUGUCCCCAUUUUACAGAAGGGGGAGCAGGAGCUUGAAUGGCUCUGCUCUGUCACCAGGCAGAGGGCGGACACACCCCUCCUCUGAGACUCUCUCAGCCCGUCCAGGGCAGGACUUGGAAAUGCAGUCCAGAGCCAGGGAUCUGUCCCUCUGAGGAUGGACUGGCACUGGGGCCUGGGCUCCUUGGCCUUCCAGAGAUCUGAGCUCUGCCCCUUCCAGGUGGGAGGGAGGGCUGCCCUGGUCCCUGUGCCCAGCUUUGUGCCCACCCCUCCCGCCAGCUCACCCCGCCCCUUCCAGCAGAUCUCUCACCCAGCAGCAAGUCCCCAAAUCUGCAGAGAACUGGAAGGGAGAAGCUAGGGGUGCAGCAGACACUGCUCUGGCCAGUAGCCCCAGGAGACAGAAGGUGGCCAACAGCCCCUCUGGGGACACUCUUUUGGGUGGUCCAUGUGGAGAGGAGGGGGCCCGCCGGCUCACCCCCUCUCAGUGUCCAUCCCUGCUUCCCCCCACCUGCCCUCAGCCUUCCCCACUGUGCUCCUUUUGUGCCUUAUUUGAGUAAAUAAUCCUGGCAGCUCACAGAUUAUUUGUAUUUCUAUUUUUAUUUUUUAGUCUUUUUU